rnacentral:rRNA from 1 species
UACAGAGGAGCCAAGCGUUGUCCGGAAUCAUUGGGCGUAAAGAGCGUGUAGGCGGCCAGGUAGGUCGGUUGUGAAAACUGGAGGCUCAACCUUCAGAGGUCGACCGAAACCAUCUGGCUAGAGUCCGGGAGAGGAGAGUGGAAUUCCUGGUGUAGCGGUGAAAUGCGCAGAUAUCAGGAAGAACACCCGUGGCGAAAGCGGCUCUCUGGAACGGUACUGACGCUGAGACGCGAAAGCGUGGGGAGCGAACAGG